UUGAGGCGAACCGCCAUACUGGCGACGAAGCUAGCGCCGGAGCACGGUGGCACUACUGUGUCGAUAUCCUAAAAUUGGUCGGAAAGGAUUUUCAACAUCGAUUUUAGAUUUUUUAGGUGUUUUCAGGUACGUGACGAAUAUUUUGGAUUCUCAUUGAAAAAAUUCAGGAAUUCGAGACUCAUUCGGAGGCGUAGUGGACAGUUCGACAUUUCAAAACACUGAUCCGAGUGAGGAU
rnacentral:lncRNA from 1 species